rnacentral:rRNA from 1 species
CCCUUAGAUGUUCUGGGCCGCACGCGCGCUACACUGACGAAUGCAACGAGCUUAUAACCUUGGCCGAAAGGUCUGGGUAAUCUCCAAAUUUCGUCGUGAUGGGGAUAGAUUAUUGCAAUUAUUAAUCUUCAACGAGGAAUGCCUAGUAAGCGCAAGUCAUCAGCUUGCGUUGAUUACGUCCCUGCCCUUUGUACACACCGCCCGUCGUUCCUACCGAUUGAAUGGUCCGGUGAAGCGUUCGGACCGUGGCCUUUGGACGGUUCGCCGUCUGUUGGCUGCGGGAAGUUCGUUAAACCUUAUCAUUUAGAGGAAGGAGAANUCGUANCA